UGUUUAUCUCGCCAAUGAGGGGCUGCUGCACCAAAUCUUCCUAACAAAAUUACACUCGGAAAACCUAUAGUGUGAAUAGGCUCUUAUGUAUUUCUAAUUGUCUAGUAAAAUCUACAUUGGCUCAUGAGUGUAAACUUUUGUAAUGUUUCCAUUUUUGGCACGGGGUUAAUGCGAGGCCCGUCCACAAGCAGGUAAGGGCUAUGACUACAGUGGAAUUAUGGUCACUAGGCAACCACGCACUGCCCACACCAACGUGUUUACGUCAUCACGUUCGGCUUCCGGCUGAACACUGCUUCCGGGUCACGUGAGCAGGAUUUAAAAGGCCGCGUGGCGCUGCUCAUUGUUACAUCGCUAUGAGAGAUUUACGGGGAGGAUCGCAUCUCGGCUCAGCCGCUGUUCACAUCAGGAGUCCGGGGACGGCAAUGGAUCUUUCGCGUGCACAGACAUCUUCCUUGCCGGCGUGUUGGCACAGCAGAGGGUCCGCUCCGAGUGCAGCAGCAUGGACAUAGCCCGGACUGACCUAGCACAUAGAAUGGAGGAGAUCUGUGAUCCUGUAAUGUGUUCUGGUGGAAACGUUCCCCAGCUGCAUUCAUUCUAAAUCACUAAUGUAUGGUGGCCAUGAUGCGGAUCUGGAUGGAAGGACUUGGCCCUGGUGACUGUAUCACAAGAUGGCUUCCUGCACUGGUGUAACCAUUUACUGACUACUGGUUCGAUAACGAUAAUAUGUGAACUUUGAGGUCGAUAGCCAAUAACUUAUACUGGAAUAAUCAGCUAUUUACAGCCACAGGAACAGCAGAUAUCUACAGAUUGGACAACGUGCCUAAGAGCCAUGAAUCCUGGAGCUUCUACAAGCAGGACGAGUCCAAUGUCCUAAAGUCUCAAUGCUCUGAGCAGAAGACAUGUCCUGAGCCCUGCAGGAGGAGGAUACUUGGUCUCAGAAUGGCAUGUGUGAAAUCGGCUGAGACCAUCAAAAUGUCAACAUGCUGCAAAUAUUGGGGUGGUCCAGAGAUCCUGGGAGUCGACCCCAACAGAUGGGAACGUGGAGAAUUGUAACUGCAAGAGCUGUGACCCUGUAUAUGAUCUAUGUAAUGUGAAUAAAACGAUUGUUUAAA